rnacentral:rRNA from 1 species
CGACCGCUGGCGGCGUGCUUAACACGUGCAAGUCGAACGGAAAGGCCCUGCUUUUGUGGGGUGCUCGAGUGGCGAACGGGUGAGUAACACGUGAGUAACCUGCCCUUGACUUUGGGAUAACUUCAGGAAACUGGGGCUAAUACCGGAUAGGAGCUCCUGCUGCAUGGUGGGGGUUGGAAAGUUUCGGCGGUUGGGGAUGGACUCGCGGCUUAUCAGCUUGUUGGUGGGGUAGUGGCUUACCAAGGCUUUGACGGGUAGCCGGCCUGAGAGGGUGACCGGCCACAUUGGGACUGAGAUACGGCCCAGACUCCUACGGGAGGCAGCAGUGGGGAAUAUUGCACAAUGGGCGGAAGCCUGAUGCAGCAACGCCGCGUGCGGGAUGAAGGCCUUCGGGUUGUAAACCGCUUUCGCCUGUGACGAAGCGUGAGUGACGGUAAUGGGUAAAGAAGCACCGGCUAACUACGUG